rnacentral:rRNA from 1 species
UACGGAGGAGGCAAGCGUUAUCCGGAAUUAUUGGGCGUAAAGCGUCCGCAGGUGGCUAUUCAAGUCUGCGGUCAAAGACUGGGGCUUAACCCUGGAAAGGCCGUGGAAACUGAAGAGCUAGAGUGCAGUAGGGGUAGAGGGAAUUCUCGGUGUAGCGGUGAAAUGCGUAGAGCUCGGGAAGAACAUCGGUGGCGAAAGCGCUCUGCUGGACUGCAACUGACACUCAGGGACGAAAGCUAGGGGAGCGAAUGGG